GACAGAGGGUGCAAACGUUGUUCGGAAUUACUGGGCGUAAAGCGCGUGUAGGUGGCAAGGCAAGUCGGGUGUGAAAGCCCUGGGCUCAACCCAGGAAGUGCACUCGAUACUGCCUCGCUAGAGUCCCGGAGAGGUUGGUGGAACUCUCGGUGUAGAGGUGAAAUUCGUAGAUAUCGAGAAGAACACCGGUGGCGAAGGCGGCCAACUGGACGGUGACUGACACUGAGACGCGAAAGCGUGGGGAGACAAACAGGAU
rnacentral:rRNA from 1 species